CCCUUCGAUGUUCUGGGCCGCACGCGCGCUACAAUGGAUGAAUCAACGCGUCAUCCUGGCCCGAAAGGGUUGGGGAACCGCUGAACCUCAUCCGUGGUUGGGAUUGGGGUUUGUAAUUAUUCCCCAUGAACUAGGAAUUCCCAGUAAGCGCGAGUCAUAAGCUCGCGUUGAUUACGUCCCUGCCCUUUGUACACACCGCCCGUCGCUACUACCGAUUGGAUGGUUUAGUGAGAUCCUCGGAUUGGUCACGGCACGGUGGCAACACUGCGUCGGUGUGCCGAGAAGACGAUCAAACUUGAUCAUCUAGAGGAAGUAAAAGUCGUAACA
rnacentral:rRNA from 1 species